GAGGGGUAGAGAGAGCUUGCUCUCUUGAGACCGGCGCACGGGUGCGUAACGCGUAUACAACCUACCUUUUGCUACGGGAUAGCCCAGAGAAAUUUGGAUUAACACCGUAUAGUAUAUAGAUGCCUCAUGGCUUUUAUAUUAAAGGCUACGGCAAAAGAUGGGUAUGCGUCCUAUUAGCUAGAUGGUGUGGUAACGGCACACCAUGGCAACGAUAGGUAGGGGCCCUGAGAGGGGGAUCCCCCACACUGGUACUGAGACACGGACCAGACUCCUACGGGAGGCAGCAGUGAGGAAUAUUGGACAAUGGGCGCAAGCCUGAUCCAGCCAUGCCGCGUGCAGGAAGACUGCCCUAUGGGUUGUAAACUGCUUUUAUACGGGAAGAAACACCCCCUCGUGAGGGGGCUUGACGGUACCGUAGGAAUAAGGAUCGGCUAACUCCGUGCCAGCAGCCGCGGUAACACGGAGGAUCCAAGCGUUAUCCGGAAUCAUUGGGUUUAAAGGGUCCGUAGGUGGACGGUUAAGUCAGGGGUGAAAGUCUGCAGCUCAACUGUAGAAUUGCCCUUGAUACUGGUCGUCUUGAAUCAUUGUGAAGUGGUUAGAAUAUGUAGUGUAGCGGUGAAAUGCAUAGAUAUUACAUAGAAUACCGAUUGCGAUGGCAGAUCACUAACAAUGCAUUGACACUGAUGGACGA
rnacentral:rRNA from 1 species